AUACGUAGGGAGCGAGCGUUGUCCGGAAUUACUGGGUGUAAAGGGAGCGUAGGCGGGAGUGCAAGUCAGAUGUGAAAUACAUGGGCUCAACCCAUGGGCUGCAUUUGAAACUGCAUUUCUUGAGUGAAGUAGAGGUAAGCGGAAUUCCUGGUGUAGCGGUGAAAUGCGUAGAUAUCAGGAGGAACACCGGUGGCGAAGGCGGCUUACUGGGCUUUUACUGACGCUGAGGCUCGAAAGCGUGGGGAGCAAACAGGAUUAGAUACCCUGGUAGUCCACGCUGUAAACGAUGAUUACUAGGUGUGGGGGGACUGACCCCUUCCGUGCCGCAGUUAACACAAUAAGUAAUCCACCUGGGGAGUACGUUCGCAAGAAUGAAACUCAAAUGAAUUGACGGGG
rnacentral:rRNA from 1 species